UUGCUUCAGCAGCACAUAUACUAAAACUGAAACAAUACAGAGAAGAUUAGCAUGGCCCCUGCACAAAGAUAACAAGCAAAUUCAUGAAGUAGUCCACAUUAAA